UACGGAGGGUGCAAACGUUAUCCGGAAUCACUGGGCGUAAAGCGCAUGUAGGCGGGUCGGCACGUCGGUCGCUGAAAUCCCCCGGCUCAACCGGGGAAGGGGCGCCGAUACGACCGACCUGGAGGAACGUAGGGGGAGCUGGAACUUACGGUGUAGCGGUGAAAUGCGUAGAUAUCGUAAGGAAGACCAGUGGCGAAGGCGGGUCUCUGGACAGUUCCUGACGCUGAGGCACGAAGGUCAGGGGAGCAAACGGG
rnacentral:rRNA from 1 species